CGUAAAGUGGCGUAAUAGAUAGUAUUGUAAAGAUUCUAUUAAUACGAUACAGAAUGCAGAACUUGAACAACGCGAACGUAUUCACUUUUUAAAAAAAAGUUGAACAUUAACGUGAACGAAUUCAAUUUUUAAGUGAACUUUCUGAACAAUGGUUAUAAUCGUAGAUAACAAAGAAAAAUACGAUUAGUGAACGUUUUGAUAUUAAUAUGUCAAAAUCAAAUGUACGGAUUUUGCUGCCCCCCCCACUAAAAAUGAUUUCAAAUAUGCCACUGAUUAUUCGAAAUUAUAUUUGAUUCCAAGUUCGGAAAUAUCUGAUUUUGCAAUAAUUUAACGUCCAACGAUGGAAUUUUGUGCAUGGAUAUAAUAAAAGUUUUGUUGAACGGUCCAUCCAAAAUCCAUGUACGGUGGUGAGAUAAAACAAAUACUCAACAAAAAACCAUAUAAUAUUCCAAAUUCUCCAGUCAUAUAAACCGUUCAUUUCCAUUCAAGGCGCAGAAAACUUAUCAGAAAAUCGCCCAACGGUUAAAAAUACAUUGAAGCAAGAAUCUAUUAAAUGUCACUUGACAGUGUCCAUCCUCAUAUUAUACUCACAUUAAGUAAAUAUUUUCCCAAUCACAUAUGUUUAUUGCACGUUAUAUACGCAACAGAUUGUAAAUUGUAUUGUAAGGAAAAAAAAUCCCAAUAAAAUAUGCACACGAUGACGAUCAUUGUGAAAUGUGAUAUGGCGGCACACCACCGUGAAAAUUCGAAAACCAAUCGCGUCGAAAGAUCGCUAUCGACCACAAACUCGACCGCGCAUGGGAUCGUUCGCGGGUUCGCGUUUUCACAUCACCGCGGAUUUUGUCUGUGCACGUGUUUCUAUCAACUUCUAAUGUCUAUUGACAUAUUCUAACAUCUAUUGAUGUGCGAGACGUUGUACAGCGCAACGGAAAAUCGUAUUCACACCGCCAUUGCCGGUUAUGCUGUGUGCUACUGUACUUAAUCAGUGUCGCAUCAAAACAUGGGUCCAAAGGGCCCAGGC